rnacentral:rRNA from 1 species
AUUGAACGCUAGCGGGAUGCUUUACACAUGCAAGUCGGACGAGUGGCGGACGGGUGAGUAACGCAUCGGAACGUGCCCAGUAGCGGGGGAUAACUACUCGAAAGAGCAGCUAAUACCGCAUACUAUUGGAUCGGCCGAUAUCGGAUUAUCUGGUUGGGGGGGUAAAGGCUCACCAAGGCAACGAUCAGUAGCGGGUUUGAGAGGACGAGCAGCCACACUGGGACUGAGAAACGGCCCAGACUCCUACGGGAGGCAGCAGUGGGGAAUUUUGGACAAUGGGCGCAACCCGGAUCCAGCCAUGCCGCGUGUAUGAGAAGGCCUUCGGGUUGUAAAGUACUUUUGGCAGGGAAGCGGUAUCUGAAGAAUAAGCACCGGCUAACUACGUGCCAGCAGCCGCGGUAAUUC